GACGAACCGAGCGAACGUUGUUCGGAAUCACUGGGCUUAAAGGGCGCGUAGGCGGGCCGCCGUGUCCGGGGUGAAAUCCUCCCGCUCAACGGGAGAACGGCCUCGGAUACGGGCGGUCUGGAGGGGGGUAGGGGCGUGCGGAACUGUGGGUGGAGCGGUGAAAUGCGUUGAUAUCCACAGGAACUCCGGUGGCGAAGGCGGCACGCUGGACCCCACCUGACGCUGAGGCGCGAAAGCCAGGGGAGCGAACAGG
rnacentral:rRNA from 1 species